AUUGCUGUUACAGAUACAAGGAAGUUGGUGACCUGAUCAUAGGGUGACUAAUACAAAGGUGAAAAUAGCGAGACAAUAGUUUCUCUUUUCUUCUUUCUUCUUCGUUGUCGUCUUGCUCCGUCGUCGACGUUGCCGCCGCCCUUCUAAUAAGGUAAUCCUUCCGUCGACUGAUCUUGAUGCGUGAUGAUAAUAUAUCUCAUUUCUACUACUUAUUUGCUUCAAUUGUUAUUAUAAAUAGAUUAAAUAAAAAGAAGAAUCCAUCAAUUCAAAUAAUUCAUUCAUGAACCCUAAUUUAUCUUCUAUGAGAGACUGAACAGGUGCGGACCCUCCCUCCUUCUAUGGUGAUUUUAUCUUCUCUGAUGUAUCUUUGAACUUAUCCAUUCAAUAAGAGAAGACGAGGCAGAGGUUAGAAGCUAGUUUCUAAGCAAUGAUGGGAGUCGGAGCUCAGGAAGUUUCUUUGCAAAUUCCAAUUUCCCCAAUUUCGCCAAAAUCUCUUCGAUUCCAUCUUUCGGCAAGCCCCACCGGUCUUUCUCUCACUUAUCAUCCUCUAGAUCGUCUCUCCACAUUAUGAAGGUUGUCCUCUCAUCUUCCGUUAAAUUUGGAAAUGAAGAAUACAGUGAAGAAGAAGAACCUGCAACCAAGGUUAAGUUUCAAGACAAUAUUAACCAUUCCAGGUUGCUCAACUUCAUUGUCUCUACUAGGAACAGGUCUGUAAAUUGCCAAAUGAGAUUAUAUAGAAAACAAAGAAGAUUAAUAUGAAAUUGUUUCUUUGAUAUAAUGAUUUUCAGGAUAUAGGGAGAAAGUUUUUGCAAUAAUUGGUGUUAAGGUAUAUGAUGUCGGAGCCCGAAUUAUACAUAUAUGAAUCUAUUCUAAGCAACUUAUAUGCAUGGAAAUGACAAUCACUGGAAGAUAUUAAAGGCGAUUCAUCUCUUUUCAACACCAUAUUUUAGGAUCCAAUUGAGAAAUCACUACAGAUUGUUCUUGUGAGGGAUGUUGAUGGAAAAACCAUUUGGGAUGCUUUAAACGAUGCAUUUUCCCCGAGAUUAGUUAAGCCUACUCCUAUAGAUGAAUCUGCUCUCUCCACUUUCCGUAGCUUUUUUCAAGGACGAUCACUCAACAAAUGUUCUGUCAUCUUCCUCACUUGGCUCAAUCCAACCAAAAUGCUAGUAAGUAUACACAAACAAACGCAACUCUCCGAUAAUCCUUCCCUGUUUCUAAAAAAACAAUGUUUUUUUCAAGUGGGCGUGUCUGAUGGUGAUGGUGUGACAACUAAAAUUGAGUCUAGUAAUGUAGCAUGGGAACUUUUCGAUGUUUUCUUUAGUAAAGAUCCAGUUUCUCCUUCUUUGAAGGAUUCAAUUGCUAGAGGUCUAGUAAAGUUGGUUUGAUUUGAUCAUCUUCUUUUAUUCUAUCAUUUUAACAACUUCAGCCUUUGAAGGUCUCUUUGAAGGUUCAUGCUCUAAGCACAUUAAUGUAAUCGAGAAUAUAUUUUUGGGAUUGAUUUGAUUAGUAUAUUGGGAUUGAUUGAUUUUUGGA